rnacentral:rRNA from 1 species
AUGUCUUCUUGUGGCGGCUGGAGCUUCGGCGCAGGCCACACGUUCGACGGAAUGUCUGAGAAGCUCAACUACGAAGAAAACAUCCAAACGGAAGCGGCUGGUGGCGAGGACCGCAUCAGCGCCCUCCCGGACGAACUCCUCCAGUACGUGAUGUCGUUCCUGCUUUCCCGCGACGCCGUGCGGACAUGCGUGCUCGCUAGGCGCUGGCGCACGCUCUGGAAGUCCGUGCCCGCCCUACGCAUUGAUGACCCCGACAGCUACCACGGUGCUACGGGCUCCAGCACGUUUGUCGACGAGCUGCUUCGUCUCCGUGACCCAACGCCUCUGAAUGUAUGUGACAUCCGUUCUGGUUGUCAGGAGACUGCGAACACCAAUUGGGCCAAGGAGGCAUUCCGACACAUGGAACCAUGGCUCCUGUAUGCUUUAUCCUGUCAAGUUCCAGUGCUUCGGAUUUGUUUUCCCUGGCGGGUAAUCAACAUGACUCUUGUCUCAUCGCACUUGAAGAGGUUACAUCUUUACCGCAUGCGAUUUGAGGGAUGCUCUCUGGAUUUUUCGAGCUGUCAGGUGCUAGAGGUGUUAGAGAUGAAAGCUUGUCAUAUCCAUGUGAAUCUCUUGUCCCAGUCAUUACGAUUUCUUAAAAUUCACAACACGAGUUUUGGUUUUGAUCCCCGCACUCGUAUUUCUGCCCCAAAUCUCAUUGGCUUCAGACUAGCUCCAUUUUACGGUUUGGCUCCUUUGCUUGAUAGCAUGCCAUCACUGGUAGCAGCAUCUAUUACACUUGGAGAAAUGUGCGAGGAAAUGUGUUACUGUGGAAAUCUAUCAUGUGGGGGAUGCGAUGCUCAAGCCGGUAACAACGACUAUCAUGUGGCUCUCCAAGGUUUGUCAGGUGCUACGAAUUUGAAGUUGACAACAAUAUCUUAUCCGAUAAGGCUGUCUGUUUUGAGAAUGGAUUUGACAUGGCGCCCCAUGUUUAGGAAGCUAAAAAAGUUGUUGCUCAAUGAGUGGUGUGUGGCUGAUGAUUUCACUGGAUUGAUUUACUUUCUCCAGCACUCACCCAUUCUAGAGACACUGAUACUUCAGCUUGAUUUGCAAACUUUUGAGGAUUAUCAUUUGAACGAAAUUGAAGGAAGUUGUAACUCAAGGGAACAAUCAUUGCUAUCACAACAUCUCAAGGUAGUCAAAAUUAUAUGUGGCACGCAGGAAGAUGUGAUAGUUCACCGUAUUUCAAAGAUCCUAUGUGCCCAUGGAGUACCUUCUGAGCAAAUUGAGAUAGAAUAG